ensembl:lncRNA
GGAAGUUUUUACUUUUACCUAUUCCUCCUUUCCCUCUCACCCUUGCUCUGUCAACCACCAAUCUGUUCUAUGUAUGAGCUAGGUUUUGGUUUUUUAGAUUCCACAUAUAAAUGAGAUUGUAUGGUAUUUGUCUUUCUUUGUCUGGUUUAUUUCACUUAGCAUUGUGACCUCAAGAUCCAUGCAUGUUGUUGCAAAUGCCAAGACUUAUUAUUUUUGGAGUUCCCAUUAUGGCUCAGUGGGUUAAGAACCCGACUAGUAUCCAUGAGGAUGUGGGUUGACCCCUAGCCUCACCCAGUGGGCCAAGGAUCCAGCGUUGCCGUAAGCUGCAGUGUACGUCGCAGAUGUGGCUCGGAUCUAGCAUUGCUGUGGCUUUGGCUGUGGCUGGCAGCUGCAACCUGACCCCUAGCCUGGAAAUCCCCAUAUGCUGCAGGCAUGGCCACAAAAAUAAAAAGAUUUACUGUUUUUAUAGCCAAGUAAUAUUCCAUAGUUGUGUGUGUGUGUACCAUAUCUUUCUCCAUUCAUCCAUCAAUGGACAUUUAGAUUGUUUCCAUAUCUUAGCUAUAGCAAUACACAUGCAGUAAACAUGGGAGUGCACAUACAUGUAUUUUUUUUUAUCAUAACAUAGUAUGCAUCCUUUAACUAAUGGUCUUUUUUAAAUCCUUUUGUCUUUAUUUUUUAUUUUUUUGCUUUUUUAGGGCCAUACCUGCAGCACAUGGAGGUUCCCAGACCAGGGAUUGAACUGGAGCUACUGCCGCUGGCCUACACCACAGCCACAGCAACACCAGAUACUCAACCCAGUGAGCAGGGCCAGGGAUUGAAACCACAUCACCAUGGACACCAGUCGGUUUUGUUAACACUGAGCUACAACAGGCACUCCCACAUAUUUUUUUGAGUUAGAGUUAGUGUUUUCAUUUUCUUCAGAUCAAUAAACAGACAUGGAAUUGCUGGAUCAUAGUUCCAUUUUUAAUUUUUUGAAGAUCCUCUAUUCAGUUUUUCAUCAAUUUUCAUUCCUACCAACAGGGCACAGGGGUUCCCUUUUGUCCACGUAUUCGCCAACAUUAAUUUCUUGUCUUUGAUGAUGAUAGCCAUUCUGACAAGUGCAUGGUUGCGAUUUGCAUUUCCCUGAUAAUUAGUGACGUUGAACAUCUUUUUAUUUACCAGUUAACAUCUAUUUGUCAUCUUUCAAAAAUAUCUAUUCAGAACUUCUGCUCACUUUUAAAUCAGAUGGUUUGGGGAUUUUGUUAUUGUUUUUGCUAUUGAGUUUUAUGAUUUUUUAGUAUAUAUUUUCAAUAUUAUCCUUUUUCAGGUAUAUGAUUUGGAAAUAUUUUAUCCCAUUCAGUAGGUUGUCUUUUCAUUUCAUUUAUGGUUUUCUUUGCUGUACAGAAGCUUUUUAGUCUGAAGUAGUUCUACUUUUUUUUUUUUUUUUUUACUUUUGUUGCUUUUACUUUUGCUGUCAGAUGCAAAACACCAUUACCAAGACUGUCCAUGUCAUCUUCUAGGAGUUACAUGGUUUCAUGUCUUUUGUUCAAGUGUUUAAUCCAUGGGAUUCUUGGUUAAAAGAAUCCGAAGAGGUUUGGCCACCAAGGGUCAACCUUGAGUGAAUCAUGGUUCAGAACUAAAACAAAAUGAAACCAAAGCACCAACAACUAUAGAGAACAGUCCUGGAAUAAUUGGUGAAAUUUGGGCUAGGUAUUAGAAGGAAAAAAAAAA